rnacentral:rRNA from 1 species
UGGCUCAGGACGAACGCUGGCGGCGUGCCUAACACAUGCAAGUCGAACGGAGUUGAGGAGCUUGCUCCUUAACUUAGUGGCGGACGGGUGAGUAACGCGUGAGUAACCUGCCUCUGAGAGGGGAAUAACGUUCUGAAAAGAACGCUAAUACCGCAUGACACAUAUUUGCCGCAUGACAGAUAUGUCAAAGAUUUUUAUCGCUCAGAGAUGGACUCGCGUCCGAUUAGUUAGUUGGUGAGGUAACGGCUCACCAAGACCGCGAUCGGUAGCCGGACUGAGAGGUUGAACGGCCACAUUGGGACUGAGACACGGCCCAGACUCCUACGGGAGGCAGCAGUGGGGGAUAUUGCGCAAUGGGGGCAACCCUGAACCGCAGCAACGCCGCGUGAAGGAUGAAGGUUUUCGGAUUGUAAACUUCUUUUCUCAGGGACGAAAUCUGACGGUACCUGAGGAAUAAGCUCCGGCUAACUACGUGCCAGCAGCGGC